UACAGAGGUCUCGAGCGUUAGGCGGAAUCACUGGGCUUAAAGCGUGUGUAGGCGGAUCGUUAAGUACCUUGUGAAAUCCCACGGCUUAACCGUGGAACUGCUCGGCAUACUGGCGGUCUUGAGCCAGCUAGGGGCUACCGGAACAAAUGGUGGAGCGGUGAAAUGCGUAGAUAUCAUUUGGAACGCCAAUGGUGAAAACAGGUAGCUGGGGCUGUGCUGACGCUGAGACACGAAAGCCAGGGGAGCGAACGGG
rnacentral:rRNA from 1 species